rnacentral:rRNA from 1 species
GACGAACGCUGGCGGCGUGCUUAACACAUGCAAGUCGAGCGGAGCGGCGAACGGGUGAGUAACGCGUGAGUAAAUGCCCCCAUCUCUGGGAUAACAGAUGGAAACGGCUGCUAAUACCGGAUAGUGGGGGAUGACGAGCUUCCUAUCAGCUUGGUGGUGGGGUAGGGGCCUACCAAGGCGACAACGGGUAGCCGGACUGAGAGUGCGACCGGCCACAGUGGGCUUGGAUACGGCCCAAACUCCUACGGGAGGCAGCAGUGGGGAAUAUUGCACAAUGGGGGAAACCCUGAUGCAGCAACGCGCGUGCGGGAUGACGGCCUUCGGGUUGUAAACCGCUUUCAGCCAUGACGCGGUAGUGGCAGAAGAAGCACCGGCUAACUACGUGCCAGCCGCCGCGGUAAUAC